GUUUGCCAGGCUAUGGCCGUGAACAAUAUUUUGAAGAUGAUGAUGAGAACUGCCCCGUACAAAAAGGAUCCUGUUACAGGGCAAUGGGAAUGUGUGACUGUAUAGACAAACGCACCUGCAUUUAUGAUUUCUUCCAGUAUUCUGACUUAUAUUGCAACCCCCGAUAUGAUAGCCCUGAUUAUGAGCAUCUCUUCAUACAGCCCUGUACCCGCAGUGGCUGUGACAUUGUGAAUGACACAUGUGCUUGUACAAGUGGAGGGUGUGAUCGGACUUUUGAAUUCAGUGAUGGCAGAAAUUGUUACCAAACGCUAAUCCAGCGGUUAUGUGCCAAUGUGACUUGUCCAGAGCCGGAAGCCCUUAAAUGUCCCUCUGAUUCAGUGGUCACUAAACCCCAUACACCCUACGGAGAGUGCUGUCCCACCAUACCCAGUAACUGCACCUGUAACUUUGAUGUAUGUAAUAAUAAAUGUCCAAAAGAUAGAAGGAAGGUUAUAAUUCGGGAAGCAGACGGCGUUCCUGGGAGAUGCUGUGACAAAUUUAUGUGUUUGCUGUAAAUAAAGUGUGAAUAAGGCUCCAGGUA